rnacentral:rRNA from 1 species
GGCUCAGAUUGAACGCUGGCGGCAUGCCUUACACAUGCAAGUCGAACGGCAGCACGGGUGCUUGCACCUGGUGGCGAGUGGCGAACGGGUGAGUAAUAUAUCGGAACGUACCUUGUAGUGGGGGAUAGCUCGGCGAAAGCCGGAUUAAUACCGCAUACGCUCUGAGGAGGAAAGCGGGGGACCUUCGGGCCUCGCGCUACAAGAGCGGCCGAUAUCAGAUUAGCUAGUUGGUGGGGUAAAAGCUUACCAAGGCGACGAUCUGUAGCUGGUCUGAGAGGACGACCAGCCACACUGGGACUGAGACACGGCCCAGACUCCUACGGGAGGCAGCAGUGGGGAAUUUUGGACAAUGGGCGAAAGCCUGAUCCAGCAAUGCCGCGUGUGUGAAGAAGGCCUUCGGGUUGUAAAGCACUUUUGUCCGGAAAGAAAUCCUCUGGGUUAAUACCUCGGGGGGAUGACGGUAC